rnacentral:rRNA from 1 species
CAGCAGCCGCGGUAAUACGUAGGUGGCAAGCGUUGUCCGGAAUUAUUGGGCGUAAAGCGCGCGCAGGUGGUUUAAUAAGUCUGAUAUGAAAGCCCACGGCUCAACCGUGGAGGGUCAUUGGAAACUGUUAAACUUGAGUGCAGGAGAGAAAAGUGGAAUUCCUAGUGUAGCGGUGAAAUGCGUAGAGAUUAGGAGGAACACCAGUGGCGAAGGCGGCUUUUUGGCCUGUAACUGACACUGAGGCGCGAAAGCGUGGGGAGCAAACAGGAUUAGAUACCCCCGUAGUCCCUGUCUCUUAUAC